AUUGAACGCUGGCGGCAUGCUUUACACAUGCAAGUCGAACGGUAACAGGUUAAGCUGACGAGUGGCGAACGGGUGAGUAAUGCAUCGGAACGUGCCCGGUCGUGGGGGAUAACGCAGCGAGAGCUGCGCUAAUACCGCAUACGAUCUGAGGAUGAAAGCGGGGGACCGUAAGGCCUCGCGCGAUCGGAGCGGCCGAUGUCAGAUUAGGUAGUUGGUGGGGUAAAGGCUCACCAAGCCGACGAUCUGUAGCUGGUCUGAGAGGACGACCAGCCACACUGGGACUGAGACACGGCCCAGACUCCUACGGGUGGCAGCAGUGGGGAAUUUUGGACAAGGGGCGCAAGCCUGAUCCAGCAAUGCCGCGUGCAGGAAGAAGGCCUUCGGGUUGUAAACUGCUUUUGUACGGAACGAAAAGGCUCUCUCUAAUACAGGGGGCUCAUGACGGUACCGUAAGAAUAAGCACCGGCUAACUACGUGCCAGCCGCCGCAGUAA
rnacentral:rRNA from 1 species